CCUACGGGUGGCUGCAGUGGGGAAUAUUGGACAAUGGGCGAAAGCCUGAUCCAGCCAUGCCGCGUGUGUGAAGAAGGCCUUCGGGUUGUAAAGCACUUUCAGUGGGGAAGAAAGCCUUGAGGCUAAUACCCUCGAGGAAGGACAUCACCCACAGAAGAAGCACCGGCUAACUCCGUGCCAGCAGCCGCGGUAAUACGGAGGGUGCGAGCGUUAAUCGGAAUUACUGGGCGUAAAGCGCGCGUAGGCGGUCUGAUAAGCCGGUUGUGAAAGCCCCGGGCUCAACCUGGGAACGGCAUCCGGAACUGUCAGGCUAGAGUGCAGGAGAGGAAGGUAGAAUUCCCGGUGUAGCGGUGAAAUGCGUAGAGAUCGGGAGGAAUACCAGUGGCGAAGGCGGCCUUCUGGACUGACACUGACGCUGAGGUGCGAAAGCGUGGGUAGCAAACAGGAUUAGAUACCCUAGUAGUC
rnacentral:rRNA from 1 species